AUUUCCCAUUCUCUACAGCGCCACUUUUUAUUUUCGAAGGCUGCCCUCAUUUUUCACUCAUCUCUAACCUAAAAUCUUGAACGACGGCGGUCCUCGAGUGCUUCAAUUCUUAAAUUCUUUUUAUUUCUUCCUCUCUCUCGCUAUGGAAUUUUCAUGGACGAGAAGUUUAUUCUUUGAUCUUAACUUCUUCAUCAAGUUUCAGCAGAUUACAAUAAUUUAAAUGGCAAUUUCUAUCUUUUCUCUACUGCCAAUUUUUUUAUCCGUUGAAUUCGGAUCAUUUUUACAAAUAAAUUUCGUUUCUUCAUUGGAGGCAAUACUGCAAAAAUUGAUCCAAUUCUUCAAUUUUCGCUCAACUUUGAAGCUUCUCCUGAAUAGUUGGUUGGGGCUUCCAGGUUUGGCAAUGUUUGGAUUUGAAGGCUGGAGAAUUGUCUUGUGAAUUUGGGGAAUUUGAUCAGAGGAAAUUCAGAAAAUAAUGGAAGAAGAACCAACACUUUCCCAUGUACAGGUAGCACAAAAGGUGUUUAAGUCGAAGUCUCGUGAUCGGGUUUUGGGUUUUGGGUUUUGGAGGAGGAAUAACACUUAAAGAAUUAUCAGGACCACAACCUAGUAGGGUGGAACUUCAAUCUAAGUUGAAUGAGGCAAACAAACAAAUAAAUCAUGUUCUUACCAAUCACGUGGAUACGGUACAGGAAGAAAACAAUGCACUUAAGAGUCGCAUGAGUUCAGUUGAAGAAGAGCUUAAUGAGCUUAAAGCAUUUAAAGAAGUGUUCUUACAACGCUUUUCAAAAGAUGGCACUCCAAGAUAGAAUACUUCAAUUAGUUAGAUUUUUAUUUUGUUCUUUUAGAUUAAACAAGAAUUACUUAUCUUUUUUUAGAAUUUAACGACAAGGGGAUGUGAUUUUUGAUUUAACAUAACUUGAAAUUCUAUUGUCAAAAAUAUUUUGAGUAAUGAAAUUUUAAUUUGUUUAUAGUUA